AAUACAUGAAAGCCGAAGGUUUAAUGCAAAAUUUGAAGAACCACGGUGCCAUGGGAACGGUCGCCGGUGACGGCGCGUCGCGCCGACGUCGUCGAUGGAGCGUACUCAGUUCUUCUAUUCUUGAUCUUCUUGAUGUUCUGCACGAACUCGUUGCCGUGGCCAUCUAUCAACCAUGAGUAGCAGUGAAGAACAAGUGCCAAUGGUCGAAAUAUUUAAGUAUUUCUGCAUGUCGUGGACAUCAUGUGGUGACUCCCAUCUUUCUAGUUCUACUUGUUAAUGGCCUGAGCAUCAAAAUGUUACUGUAUGUUGUUGAUUAGUGAUGCCAGAGCAAGCGUGACCAGAAAUAUAAAGAAAUAAUAGAACUCGAGCUGAGAUUCAUGUUCC